GGCCAGCAGCCGCGGUAAAACGUAGGAGCCUAGCGUUAUCCGAAUUCACUGGGCGUAAAGCGCGUGCAGGCGGUUCGGUAAGUUGGAUGUGAAAUCUCCUGGCUCAACUGGGAGAGGACGUUCAAGACUGUCGGACUAGAGGACGGUAGAGGAAGGUAGAAUUCCCGGUGUAGUGGUGAAAUGCGUAGAUAUCGGGAGGAAUACCAGUGGCGAAGGCGGCCUUCUGGGCCGUUCCUGACGCUCAGACGCGAAAGCUAGGGGAGCAAACGGGAUUAGAAACCCCGGUAGUCCUAGCCGUAAACGAUGUAGACUUGGUGUCGGUGGGGUAAAAGCCAGCGGUGCCGAAGCAAACGCGAUAAGUCUACCGCCUGGGGACUACGGCCGCAAGGUUAAAACUCAAAGGAAUUGACGGGGGCCCGCACA
rnacentral:rRNA from 1 species